rnacentral:lncRNA from 1 species
GCAUCCCAUUUUUCUCAUACAAAAAUAACAGCUAAUGUUUUCAAUUAGUUUCGGUUAUCUUUUUAUAGUAAGACAACUUAUUUAUUUUUGUCAUCUACAUGCAAAAAAUAGCCGGAAAAUUAUCAUUUAAAGACUCUUUGUAAAUGUGCAUGAUAAUUAUUGGAUAGCAAACAUGACAACAUUGGGGGGACGCAUUUCCAAUUAUAUCCUAAAACGUCUUUUCCAAUUCCAACAAACUUGGCAAAUAUGAUGUUAUUGGAAGUUUCUAUAGAUAUGAUUAUCAUUUUGUUUCGACCAGUUACAGAACACGAACAUGAGAGACAUUCUAUUGUAUGAACAGACGAAGAACGCGCUCACCAGAAGCAUAUUUAAAUUAUAACUGAUAAAAAAAAACGUCAGUUAGAGGCAAUUCCUUAUUCCAAUAUAUUAAGAUUUUGACACCAGAGGCAUUCAUUAAUUCUGAUAGAUGAGAACUGCAACCACCUGAGACAGUGUUUAAUUGAUAAACAACCGGAACACUAAUGGCAAUCUUUAAUUAUAAUAUAUGAUGGCUAUAACCACCUGAUACAGAUUGUUUCGCGCCUACGACUUCUGUUGCA